rnacentral:rRNA from 1 species
CAGCACCACAAGUGGUCAGGUUGAUUAUUGGGCCUAAAGCAUCCGUAGCCUGCUUUGUUAGUUUUCGGUUAAAUCUGUACGCUCAACGUACAGGCUGCCGGGAAUACUGCAGCGCUAGGGAGUGGGAGAGGUAGACGGUACUCGGUAGGAAGGGGUAAAAUCCUUUGAUCUAUUGAUGACCACCUGUGGCGAAGGCGGUCUACCAGAACACGUCCGACGGUGAGGGAUGAAAGCUGGGGGAGCAAACCGGAUUAGAUACCCGCGUAGUCC